rnacentral:tRNA from 1 species
GGCCGGGUGGCGAAAUGGUAUACGCAGCGCACUCAAAAUGCGCCGUGCUACGCACAUGAGAGUUCGAAUCUCUCCCCGGCUACCA